UUAUUUUUAUAUUUUUAUAUUUUAAUUUAUAUUAUUAUAUAAAAAUGUAUGUCUAUCAAUUAUAAAACAUAUAUCAAUGUUAAACUAUUAUGUACUUAAUAUAAGUGUUCGUUUAUUUCAACAAUAAAUUGUUUGAAAACUUUUUAAUAUUUUAAAAAAAUUAAAAUUAUAUGAUAUUUUAUAAUUAAUCUAUUUAUUUUUUAUAGAAAUGCGGGUCAUGGGUACGGGUAUGGGUACUUACAU
rnacentral:lncRNA from 1 species